rnacentral:lncRNA from 1 species
ACUGUGCAAACAAAAAAAGGCAACAAGCAUGCUGGGACCAUUCUGUCUGCUGUUUGGGUCUCACUUGUCCUGACAACUAAAAAUCAUCAGUGGAAAGGUAUUCUACAUUUUUUAUUUGAGGUAAAGAAUUGUGGGUGAUAUUAUCUGGGUAUUUAGAUCGCAAAGAGAUCAAAACAGACCCUGAUAUUUGGCCUAAGACAGAAGAAAGACCAUGAGGAGGCCUUAGACCUCAGCAGGCCAUUUCCAUCUUACUGUCGUAUUCUUACACAGACAGGAAAACGCACCGCAGAUGAACUAUGUUUUUCAACUGAACUCAAUUCCGAAAUACAAGGUAGCUCACGUGCGAAUGGCCCACACGGAGAAUCAAUGUCCCUGUACCAUUGAUGCUGGGUCUAUGUGAUACCUGAAGUUUCAUGGCAUUUUAUUAAUUUCUAUUUCUAAACUAAAAGUGCACCCUGCUCUGCUAAAAGGCACAGAAAACAUACAGAAUGUAAACCGAGAACAUGGCAUGCCACAGAAAGUAUAAACAGAAAACCCUGACUUAGAGAGACAUGUAAAAACUAGAGCAUUUUACAGACACGCCCACUACCUGGCCAAACUGGAUGCAAGAAUUUGGAAGUGCAUAUUGGAAAUAAGCGAAGUUUUCUUACAAGUCAGCUGAUAAGAGAUUUGACUUUGAGAACGUUUAAGCAAAGAUGAAAGCUCAAGGAAUUGCAAUAUUGAGAUUUCUGAAAAGAUGAUUGGAUCCAGAAAUGGAUGAGAGAUUUCCUUGAAGAUUAAGUGAUUUAUUCACAGAUCAUUACUCCCUCUGCAAAUGCAAGAGGGCAGAAAAACGAGGACUCUGCUUACUGCUGUGAUGCUGAAGAAGGUUCAACCAAAGAAGCCUCACAUCUUUUGUUCUCCUGGCUGAAAACCAUGAAGAAGAGCAAUGUUAAAAAAAAAAGUACAUUUCAAAGUGAUGAAUGAAAACAGCCUUUGAAUGAUGGAUUUAGAAAACGUACUUGUUCCAUAAAAAAUAUCUCACAGUAGAAAAUAAAUUUUCUCAUUAUCAAGGUUUUCAAUUAUUAUCAAAUAAACCAUUUGAGUCAUGUCUUUUAGUAUUAAAGUCAAGGAAAGCAUUGGUGUCCCAUUUGCAGUGAUUCAUAGUAAGUUUAGCAGAUUCACGAUGGCUGGGUUUAUUCAAAUUUGUCAUUGAGCAUUCAAAAACAAUUCUCUAAAUACAUUUUCUAUUUGUUAUCAUAUAAAUCAGUG